rnacentral:rRNA from 1 species
CCUACGGGUGGCAGCAGUGAGGAAUAUUGGUCAAUGGACGAGAGUCUGAACCAGCCAAGUAGCGUGAAGGAUGACUGCCCCAUGGGUUGUAAACUUCUUUUAUAUGGGAAUAAAAUGUUCCACGUGUGGGAUUUUGUAUGUACCAUAUGAAUAAGGAUCGGCUAACUCCGUGCCAGCAGCCGCGGUAAUACUGAGGAUCCGAGCGUUAUCCGGAUUUAUUGGGUUUAAAGGGAGCGUAGGUGGAUUGUUAAGUCAGUUGUGAAAGUUUGCGGCUCAACCGUAAAAUUGCAGUUGAAACUGGCAGUCUUGAGUACAGUAGAGGUGGGCGGAAUUCGUGGUGUAGCGGUGAAAUGCUUAGAUAUCACGAAGAACUCCGAUUGCGAAGGCAGUUCACUGGACUGCAACUGACACUGAGGCUCGAAAGUGUGGGUAUCAAACAGGAUUAGAUACCCGUGUAGUC